rnacentral:rRNA from 1 species
CACGUAGUUAGCCGUGGCUUCCUCCUCAGGUACCGUCAUUAUCGUCCCUGAAGACAGAGCUUUACAACCCGAAGACCGUCAUCACUCACGCGGCGUUGCUGCAUCAGGGUUUCCCCCAUUGUGCAAUAUUCCCCACUGCUGCCUCCCGUAGGAGUCUGGGCCGUGUCUCAGUCCCAAUGUGGCCGAUCACCCUCUCAGGUCGGCUACGCAUCGUCGCCUUGGUGAGCCGUUACCUCACCAACUAGCUAAUGCGCCGCGGGCCCAUCUCAUAGCGGAUUACUCCUUUAAUUGCUACUUCAUGCGAAGCUACAAUCUUAUGCGGUAUUAAUCUCCCUUUCGGAAGGCUAUUCCCCUCUAUGAGGCAGGUUGCCCACGUGUUACUCACCCGUCCGCCGCUAGCUUUGUUCCGAAAAACUCCACUCGCUCGACUUGCAUGUGUUAGCACGCCGCCAGCGUUCGUCCUGUACGCCGAGACGUCAAACCUACGUCCUGACGACGUACG